rnacentral:rRNA from 1 species
GAAUCAACGCUGGCGGCGUGCCUCAGACAUGCAAGUCGAACGCGAAAGUCCCCUUCGGGGGACAAGUAGAGUGGCGCACGGGUGAGUAACACGUAGGUAAUCCACCUUCGGAUGGGGAAUAACAACCGGAAACGGUUGCUAAUACCGCAUAAUGCAGCGGCACCUAAUGGUGACAGUUGUUAAAGCGGGGGAUCGAAAGACCUCGCGUCUGAAGAGGAGCCUGCGGCGGAUUAGCAGUUGGUAAGGUAACGGCUUACCAAGGCGACGAUCCGUAGCCGGCCUGAGAGGGCGGUCGGCCACACU